UACGUAGGGUGCAAGCGUUAAUCGGAAUUACUGGGCGUAAAGCGUGCGCAGGCGGUUGUGCAAGACAGAUGUGAAAUCCCCGGGCUUAACCUGGGAAUUGCAUUUGUGACUGCACGGCUAGAGUGUGUCAGAGGGGGGUAGAAUUCCACGUGUAGCAGUGAAAUGCGUAGAUAUGUGGAGGAACACCGAUGGCGAAGGCAAUCCCCUGGACCUGUACUGACGCUCAUGCACGAAAGCGUGGGGAGCAAACAGG
rnacentral:rRNA from 1 species